rnacentral:rRNA from 1 species
UACGUAGGGGGCAAGCGUUGUCCGGAUUUAUUGGGCGUAAAGAGCGUGUAGGCGGCCUGACAGGUCAGCUGUGAAAACUCGAGGCUCAACCUCGAGACGUCGGUUGAAACCAUCUGGCUAGAGUCCGGAAGAGGAGUGUGGAAUUCCCGGUGUAGCGGUGAAAUGCGCAGAUAUCGGGAAGAACACCAGUGGCGAAGGCGGCCUUCUGGCUCAUAACUGACGCUGUAGCGCGAAAGCGUGGGGAGCGAACGGG